CUAAAUCUCUUUUUCCUUCAAUUUUUCACUCCACAGCCACACACUCCCUCUCCCAGCCAAAGCUUCCAUUUUUCAUUCCACAGGACAGCCGCACACUCUCUCUCCCAGCCAAAGCUUCCAUUUUUCUCUCCACAGCCACACACUCCCUCUCCCAGCCAAAGCUAAAACAAAGCAGAGACUAAAAUUUCUCAAUAUUAAGUUUCUGGCUAUCCAAUGAGUGCCGCCCGCUGCAUUGCAAGAAUUUGUGAGGCUCUGGAAGACAAGUGGGAUAUAUUAUAAGUUAAUUUAACUGCCCCCAAAGGGAUUAGUUCAAUUUUUGAGUAAUUUAUUUUUGUAUCCAUUAUGUAAACAAAGUAUCUAAUUGGAAGAUAUUUGUCAAAAAUGAAAUUUAUGAGACUUUUGUGAA